CUUUUUGCCAUUUCUUGGGCCGCUGCCGUGGCAUAUGGAGGUUCCCAGGCUAGGGGUCGAAUCAGAGCUGUAGUUGCCAGCCUACGCCAGAGCCAGAGCCAUGCGGGAUCUGGAGCCGCGUCUGCAACCUACACCACAGCUCACAGCAACGCCGGAUCGUUAACCCACUGAGCAAGGGCAGGGACCGAACCCGCAACCUCAUGGUUCCUAGUCGGAUUCGUUAACCACUGCGCCACGACGGGAACUCCCCUUGUAAAUUUUUUCCCGUUUUUUGUCACUUGUGCCCUUGGGGAGCCUCGGCUUUCCCGACCCCUCCUCUGCAGCUCGUCUUUUGAGACUUUCCCUUCUGCUUUGCUUCCUCCUUCGGACCCCUUUGCGUUGCAUUGUCAGAACUACAUGUUCCUGAGCUCCCAGCUCUCUGGAAGCCGGUUUCUGCCACAGCCGUUGCUAUGGAAUUGUGUACAAGACUCCAAAACGGGACACCUGGACCCUCUCCCCGACCUCACACAGCCCUUAGGAGCCUCUCAGACGGACGACAGGAAUGAUUCCAGAGACUGGGUAUUAGCUCACAUAGCACCAGAUGCCAAAGAAGCCUCAAGAUAUGCAAAAGCUCAGGCGAAGUAGAUGGUUGUUACUUCCUUACAUAAAGCCAACCCGGGUUUGCCUAAUUAGAGAAGGCUUUCCUCUAAUUCGGGAACCCAAUCUCCUUGCAUCUUAUGGUUGUGCCGCCAUCUGUAACACCUGGCUUCCCAGAUGUGUCCAAGGCCACAGCUUCUGCAUUGCCCCACCUAUGAAAGAGUAUGGCAGCUGCCUAGCUGUGGGCCCAGGGAGAAAAGAGGGAGUCGGUAGCUGGUCAGACUCUGCCACAAAGUGUAAAAUGCCUUAUACUUUGGAAAUCACUUUCAUGGAUGUUAACUCAGGCUUUUCUCGAUUUGGUCCCUCAAGAGUGUAUGUGUUAAGCCUUUACUGGGUGCUAAAGAGUUUAAGAUGUAAGGGGUCUCCUGUGCCCCUAGCAUUCCCCCUCAAAGCACUCAUGGGGACUUCUCUGCUCCCCUGUUCAUCCAACGUAAUGAACCCCCUGGCUGGGCUGAUGAAAGCUCUGCUGUUACCAAAGUAGUGUCAACUUCCACAUCAUGGAAUUCUUUUCCCCAAAAUUCAUCCUGUGGCCACAGGCACUGCACAAGCAACAUGGGAUACAGUGGUAAACAAGAAAGACACUGUAUUCAAAAUAAUUCCAUCCAGGAGGUCCCAUUAUGGCUCAGCAGGUUGAAACCUGACACAGUAUCCUUGAGGAUGUGGGUUUGAUCCCUGGCCUCGCUCAGUGGGUUAAGGAUCUGGGAUUGCCAUGAGCUGUGGUGUAGGUUGCAGAUAUGGCUUGGAUCCCACGUUGCCAUGGCUGUGGCAUAGGCAACAGCUGCAGUUCUGAUUCGACCCCUAGCCCAGGAAUGUCCAUAUGCCACAGGUGCAGUUCUAGAAAAAAAAGAAAAACAAAAGAAAAGAAAGAAAGAAAAAAUGUCAUCAAAUGUCGAGGAGGCAGGGCACAUGUUUGUAUUCCCAUCUGAAAGCUGAGUUUAAAAAGCUGCCUGAAGUUGUACUGUAGUCAGUGGCAGACAAGGGCUGGGGUAGAGGUCACUCAAGACCUGCUUUCCACAGCAAUGACAAUAAAUGGCACGUAGCUGAGUUAGCUUUCAUGCUUCCUGCUCUUUUGUGUAAAUGAGUUCAAGUCUGCGGGCCUGACAUCAGAAGGAAAUUCAGCUUUGGGGAAGAAACACUCUAAGAAACUGGGAAAUCUAGAUGUUGUCCCCAAUACUGUAUUAGGUUGGCAGGGGGGUGCCACCCCCGCCUUCUCUGCUUGAGGAUGAUGGAGGCUGAGUGGUGGGGGGGGGGCACUCUCCAUCCAGGGCCUCCCGAGCGGCAAUCACACCUCGCGGCUUGGCCCCACCGCUUGGCCUCUUUCAGUCUGGUGAGUUUCUCCUCCCAGACAUUCGCGCUGUGGAUUCAUUGGCGUCCUUCUGAACAAAGCCCCAAACAUUUGGUUUGGGCUUCGUUUCUCAAGUUACCACUUACCUAAUAUGCUUUGGCUCUGCUUCCAAGGAACAGGCCUGCAGAAAGGACGCCAUCUACCAACGUCCUGGCCCCUGGCAGGUCCAGCCAGGUUCUGCCUGGGCCAACAGUGCCAGUUACACACAGAGCUUGUUGGGCAACUGGCCAUGGAAGUGGCUCCCAUCUGGGCCUUUCCCAGGCUGCUCCAGAGCAGAGAGAGAUGGGCUGCAUGGCUUCAUAAAAUCACUGCAGACGUGGAGAGAUGGGGCCAAUGGGUUUGCUUUCGAGAUGGGUGAGGCUUUCAGGACUCAUCUGGGCAGAAUGGAUGAACAUUCCCUUGGACCAAACAUCGGAUGUUUAUUUUAUAACCAUUUUUAGAAUCUUGCACCAUGUAAAUUAAGUUUAUUGUAAAACGUUUCGAAAAUAAAAGAACUAAAAAUCCUGUCUGGCAUCACCCCGUGGGUAUCAUUAUGCUUCAUAUUUUGGUCUCUACUGUGGACUAAUGGGUUUCCCCUCCCCUCCCUCUCACCUAUAUUCCUGUAUUGAGGCCCUAAGCGCCAGUGUGACUUAGUUUGAGAUGGCUUUUUAGAUGAUUAAAGUUAAUCGAAGUCCUAAGGCAUAAGGGCUGGUCCUAUUUCAACUGGUGGCCUUUGGAGAUCGAUGAAGAAAAGAGGGCUCCUUCCUCCACCCACGCCUGCAGGCACGCGCCCACGAGGAAAGGCCGUGUGAGGUCACAGGGAGAAGGAAGCCGUCUGCAGCCCAGGAGGCGAGCCCUCACCAGACACACAAUCAGCUGGUACCUUGACCUGGACCUUCCCAGCCUCCGGAACUGUGAGAAAUUAAUUUCUGAAAUCUUACGUAGCGCUUUCUUCAUUGCUCGCUUAUCUUAAUUAUAAAAUAGGAAUUGUGUCCUGUGUCAUUAAGGAUUGUUUCAUAUGUCGCAUGGGAGGGCUGUAACAUAUUUAUUAUAGAGUAUUCACUGGUAUGGAUCUGCUACAAAUUAUUUAAGCGAUGUUUCAUUUUUUUGGACAAGUAGGUUGUUUCAAUGUUUUCACUCUUAUAGAUGGUGCUACAAGGACCCUACGUCUCGCCUGGGCUCUGGAACUCACUGGCUCUGCAUUUCAGCUUCUUCACCUGUAAAAUGGGGAUCAUGAAAGAACCUGCCAUCCAGAGAUAUUGCAAUGACAACCCAAAUAAAGAGCUUAGAACAGGAGUUCCAGUGAUGGCAGAAUGGGCUGAGCAUCUGACUGCAGGUAUUCUGGUUGCCGCAGAGGUGUGGGUCCGAUCCCCAGCCUGGCACAGUGGGUUAGAGGAUCCAGGGUUGCCAAAACUGUGGCUCAGAUUCAAUCCCUGGCCUGGGAACUUUCAUAUGCCGUGGGGGCAGCCAUUAAAGAAAAAAAAAAAAAACGGAGCUUAGAACAGGGACAGGCACAGAGUAAAUGCUCAAUAAAUAACAGAGCAGAUUAAGAGCUGUCUCAAGGCUUCCCCAGAUCCUUGCAAUUCAGGUGAGCUAAGCCUUCCCUUCUAUAGAAUGGUUGCAGCAAAGUCUCUCCUAGCCCCCUCCUCUCCUUCCUCUUUUGCCCAUAGUUAGUGCAAUGCCCACUUCCAUCAGCAUGAAGGCGCUGGUACCUGGAAGCACGUGAGGGCUACAGAACUGUGGGGAGCCACCUCCAUGCCUUUCCAUGCCCCCAUCAAAUAUUAGGCUCUUAAGAAAGAAAAACAGACUGUCCCCAAAGAGGAGGAAACAACACAAAUGGAUCUGUGGUUAGUAUUGGAAGAAAUUUAACCCAAGUGUGCUGAAUAAGGGAGUGUAUUUCUUGUCCAGGAGACUCCAGUUGGAGAUCCUGGUGUUCCAAACGAAGCCCUGUUUUCCUCUUUACUAUUAUUAUUUAUUGUCUUUUUGGCCACGCCCACAUCAUGUGGAAGUUCCCAGGCCAGGGAUCGAACCCUCUCCACAGUAAUGACAACACCGAGUCCUUAACUGCCAGGCCACUGGGGAACUCCUCCUCUUUUUUAUUAAUAGCAGUUCCAUCUCUAAAAGAAAGAAGAGUGGAGAAAAGAGUGGCAGCCUCACUCCCGCAACAAAGAAAGGAAUCCAGAUUUCAAAACACUCAGACUUAUUGCUCUUUCAAAAGGCAACUUCAGAAAACUGUCCACCCCUCCAUCAAAGCACGGAGCUGUUUGAAGCCACCCCCUUCCCAAGCCUACCUGCUGAUUAUUCAGGAAAAUAUUAUAUUGACAUGACUCCUUAGAAUAGAAAGGCUUUGCAGUGCUUGGGUACAACCCUAGGACUAUCUUGCACCCACACAUGAUUAAAAAUUUAGAUGGCUAAACUUUGAAACAAUCAAAUGCAUUAGAAGCUUCUUAAUGAGCCGCUAUCUGAACUAAAGCACUGCAAACUUCAGAACAGUGCUUCUGUGGAAAUUCCGUCGUCUUUGAUCCGGUAAAGUCACGGCGGGGUGGAUUUAUUUCAAGUUUAUUUUUUUGGCAUACUGGUCCUCCCGAAAUAUUGGGAGAUAUCUUUCUUAGCAAGAUGUGGGAGAAAACAAUGGUACCGUCUCUUUCAUUUAUCUGCAAUUUGACAGGAGUGCAGUUUAUUAACUUGAAAAGAGGCAGAGACAUUAUCUGAAGCCUGGAGACUCUAGUGGGGAUUGCCUUCUUUUUGUACCAGUGGGAGUUGGCGACAUUUUGAACCUGCUCACCAUUAAAUGCCUUCCCGAGUGGUGGAAAAGCCUUUAAAGAGAAAGCCGAUGCAUUUAUGAUGUAAAUUUGUUAUUUUGACAGUCUUUGAAAUCUGUCAUAUUCACAUCCAAUUUAAUGCCUUGCACACACAAAAAGUCCCUUUUCUUUUAAAACACUUUUAAGAUUUUCAAAGCCAUUUUCAUGUAGCAAACUAUUGUUAUACCUAAUAUAUCCUGAAAGUAUUUUAGCAGAGGAACGUAUAGGAUUCUGUUUUAAGUCAUGUCGAGUUUUAAAACAUGGCAGUCUUCAAAUACGCUUUGACCAGGCUGUCUCUUUUUGAUUAGUUAAAAGCUGUUCUUGAUUUCCAUGUACACAGGUAG
rnacentral:lncRNA from 1 species